AUGGUAGAAUACAGGUCUCCCAACUUCCAGGCCAAUUCUAGUUCCCUUGAUUGGGGUUGAAAUUCAGGCUCCACCCGGGAACUUAAUCUGCUUGCGAUGCCACUGCAUGAUCCAGCACCAUCUGAAGGAGCUUCCCUGGAGGCUCAGUGGCGAAGAAUCUCCCUGCCAAUACAGGAGACGCAGGUUCACUCUCUACAUCAGGAAGAUCCCCUGGAGAAGGAAAUGGCAAUCUGUUCCAGUAUUCUUGCCUGGGAAGUCUCAUGGACAGAGGAACCUGGUGGGCUACAGUCCAUGGGGUUGCAAAAGAGUUGGACAUGACUUAGGGACUAAACAGCAGCAAAAUAGGCAAGGCAUGGGAAGGCACUGUAAGAGAACUGAAGUACACUGUCAUUCCUGCCAUAACCUUCCAAAACAUUAUAGUAAAGGAAAUAAGAUGAAUCCCCCAAUAAUUUUAAUGUAACCAAAAUGGUAACUGCUAGAC
ensembl:lncRNA